AUGAAUAUUUUCUUGUUUUCAUGCCUUUUAGCCUGGUUACCAAAUGUCUUUACUGUAUGGGUUGAACAAACACCGAGAACGGCAACAAAGGAGACAGGCGAAUCACUGACCAUCAAUUGCGUCCUAAAAGAUACCAGCUGUGCAUUAUAUAGCACGGGCUGGUAUUUCACAAAAAAGGGCACAUCAACAAAGAAGAGCUUAUCAACUAGUGGACGAUACUUGGAAACAGUGAACAAGGAAUCAAAGUCCUUUUCUUUGCGAAUUAGUGACCUAAGAGUUGAAGACAGUGGUUCAUAUCAGUGUGAAGCAUAUAGUUAUCACACUGAUUAUUAUGUGACUCUGAUGGACUGUGACUACUACUACGGAAGCGGCACCAUUCUGACUGUGAAACCUGGCAUACAGCCUUCUCCACCAGUCAUCAGUCUACACUACUCUGCAACUGAAGAACAGAGGGCAAACGGAUUUCUUCAGCUGAUUUGUCUCAUCACCGGGUACUAUCCUGAAAGAAUUGCAUUGACCUGGCAGAAGAACGGAAAUACCAUAAGUUCUGGCGUUACAACUACGUCUCCAACGAAAACAGCGACCAAUGAUUUUAGCUCUACAAGUUUGCUGAAAGUGCCACUGCAGGAAUGGAACAGCGGCUUUGUGUACAGUUGUCAAGUUUCUCAUUCUGCUUCCAAUAGUAACCAGAGAAAAGAAAUUAGUUCAACAUCGGAGAUAGCUGUAUUAUUGAGGGAUCCAUUGGUUGAAGAAAUCUGGAUCAAUAAAAGUGCCAUUCUGGUUUGUGAAGUGCUUUCUACAGUUUCCAGUGGGGUAGUUAUCUCUUGGAUGGUGGAUGGAAAGGUGCGGAAUGAAGGCGUUCAAAUUGAAGCAGCGAACAGAAACCAAUAUGUGACAAUCAGCCGCUUGACGAGCACCGUGGACGAGUGGCAGAGUGGGGUGGAAUACACAUGUUCUGCAAAACAGGAUCAAUCAUCACCCGCAGUAUCAAAACGAACAAGAAUGGCAAGAGUUAAAUCAAUGAAGCCAUAUAUCCGCCUCCUGCCUCCAUCACCAGAAGAAAUUCAGAACAGCAGCUCUGCUACUCUCACAUGUUUGCUGAGAGGAUUCUAUCCUGACAAAAUAAGCGUUUUCUGGGAGAAAGAUGGAGCUUCUGUCAACGAGAACAUCACCAAUUUCCCCACUGCUCUGGAACAGGACCUGACCUACAGCGCACGUAGCCUCCUCAUUUUACCUGCAGCGGAAUGGAAGAGUGGCGCAAAAUACACCUGUACUGCCUCGCAUCCACCUUCACAGUCCACUGUGAAAAGGGUCAUCAGAAGCCCGAAAGGUGAUUGCCGUCAGACAGAUAUUGCUGUCCAUCUACUGAAACCUCCGUUCGAAGAGAUUUGGACACAAAAGACAGCGACCAUUGUGUGUGAAAUCAUUUACAGCAACUUAGAAAACAUCAACGUUUUCUGGCAGGUGAAUGGGGCUGAAAGAACAAAAGGAGUCAAGACAGAAAAUCCUGUUUGGAACGGAAGUAAAUUCACCAUUUUGAGCAAACUUAAAGUCAUUGCGUCAGAGUGGGACAGCGGUGCCGAAUAUGUUUGCUUGGUAGAAGACAGUGAAUUACCAACACCAGAGAAAGCUUCUCUCAAGAAGAAAAUUGACGACCAAAUGCGUCCGCCUCAGGUUUAUCUCCUGCAGCCAUCGACAGACGAGAUUGACGCUGAGAAUUCAGCGACCCUUAUGUGUCUCGUCACCAGCUUUUACCCAGCUGAGAUCUACAUUGGCUGGAUGGCUAAUGACACCCUUUUGGAUAGCGGGUACCGAACCCAAUUGGAUAGCCAGGCGGGGAAUGGUUCCAACUUCGUGACCAGCAGGUUGAGAGUCACAGCGGCGGAAUGGAACAAUGACAUCACUUACUCCUGCUUAGUGGGGCACCCAUCCCUCAGCCGGGAGUUAAUCAGGAGUACAAAUAAAUCUCAUGGUAUCCCUGAAAUAAAAGAUGACCCGGUAGACUAUGACAUCGAAGAAAACGAACAAGAAAAUUUCAAUGGAGAUGCCAACAGUUCAUUAUCCAUUAUGACGUUUGUCGUCCUGUUUAUUCUUAGUACGCUGUACAGCACAUUUGUAACUGUGCUUAAGGUGAACUGACCGUCACUGCUGAAAACAAUUACUUCUGAUUUCAUUGAAAGCUUGUGUGUGAAGCUCCAUCGGUUGCUGAUUAGAAAUGGCAUUGAAUUGAUUUUUGCUCUCAAUCAU